rnacentral:lncRNA from 1 species
UCGGCAUUCCUGCUUCAGUCCAGCACCAUAGCUGCACAGGUCCACGAUGGUCCCCAGGAAGCCUAGGCAGUGCUGACCACCCACCCUUGCCUGUGACAAUCAACUUGAGAAUCACACUGAUCUGCUCGCAGCCCACACUCACCCAUCACCUCCGCUCUUCCCUCCUGUCCUCAGAGGUGUGCUGGUUCCUUCCUCGGCCAUGGAAGCCUGGCCUAGUUACGCCUGUUUAGGAGAGAGUGUGAGGCGUUCUUUUCUCUAUGAAGAGAGUGAGGUGGAAAUGAGGAGGAGGUGAACCUGAGAGACAUCUCUGGAGGAAGAGGGUUCACAAUAGGGGCUCGUUUCAGGAGAAAAGGCCAUUUGAAUCUUCUUUAUAACCAUAUGAUAGGAUGUCAGCGUAACUCUUCUCUCCUCCAUCUCUCCUUUCCUAUCCUCUUGAUUCAAACAACACAUCUGAGAACUCACUAGGCUUCAGUGCCUACUAAAUGCUGAGAGCCAGGCCACAAUCUUUCUAUAAAUAUUACUGGAAGAGAUGCCAUCUCCUCCCAGAUUCUGUCUUUUCAUUAAGAUAAGACAUCAUUACCAGGCAUACCUCCUGCCUCUGUGCCUCAUAGGCAUACACAAGCCAUAAGGGCAUCAUGAUUUUCAGAUGAGAAGAGAUGUUUCUCAAGAGUGCCUAGUGAGAUAGACUAGCGUCAAACCAGAUGUGGCAACUCCUGGCUCUUGGCCUACGAUCUGUCUUCAAGACCUCUGCUCUUAUUAGAGGGAGAACUUUAGCAUGGGGGAAAGUAAGAGAAAAUGAGUUAAAGGAGCAUGGUGGUGUGCUCCUGCAAUCCCAAUAUUAAGAGGUAAAAAUAGGAUCAGAAGUUCAAGGUAAUCCUUGGCUACCUAGGGAGUUUAAGGCCAGCCUGGGAUACAUUGAGACUUGGAUUCAAAGAAGCAGGAGGAGGGAGCAGGAAGAGGAGGAGU